GCAUUUAUCAGUAUGUUUUAAUAAAAUAAAAUGUAUUUCAGCAAUGCAUUAUCAAGAAGGAAGAGAUUAAUGAACCCUACCCUCUUACAAUGAACAACACAUGGACACCCUCGGGAUGAUCCCUCUGCUUUCAUUAAGAGUUCCAAGAUGUUGGUCUGAUUGACUGGGGUGUGAAAUGUAACAGCCAAUGGUGUACUUAAGCUAAGACUGUCAGUCCCAAUAUUCAAGAGG